rnacentral:rRNA from 1 species
CCUACGGGAGGCAGCAGUGAGGAAUAUUGGUCAAUGGGCGAGAGCCUGAACCAGCCAAGUCGCGUGAAGGAUGAUGGCCCUACGGGUUGUAAACUUCUUUUGGCAGGGAGCAAUUGGGUCCACGCGUGGGCUUAGCGAGAGUACCUGAAGACAAAGCAUCGGCUAACUCCGUGCGAGCAGCCGCGGUGAUACCGAGGAUGCGAGUGGUAUCAGGAUUUAUUGGGUUUAACGGUGGCGUAGGCGGAAUAUCAAGUCAGCGGUAACAAUUCGGGGCUCAACCCCGUGGUGCCGUUGAAACUGAUGUUCUUGAGUGGGCGAGAAGUAUGCGGAAUGCGUGGUGUAGCGGUGAAAUGCAUAGAUAUCACGCAGAACUCCGAUUGCGAAGGCAGCAUACCGGCGCUCAACUGACGCUCAUGCACGAAAGCGUGGGUAUCGAACAGGAUUAGAUACCCCUGUAGUC